AGAGUUUGAUCAUGGCUCAGGACGAACGCUGGCGGCGUGCUUAACACAUGCAAGUCGAACGGAAAGGCCCUUCGGGGUACUCGAGUGGCGAACGGGUGAGUAACACGUGGGUGAUCUGCCCUGCACUUUGGGAUAAGCCUGGGAAACUGGGUCUAAUACCGAAUAGGACCACGCGCUUCAUGGUGUGUGGUGGAAAGCUUUUGCGGUGUGGGAUGGGCCCGCGGCCUAUCAGCUUGUUGGUGGGGUAAUGGCCUACCAAGGCGACGACGGGUAGCCGGCCUGAGAGGGUGACCGGCCACACUGGGACUGAGAUACGGCCCAGACUCCUACGGGAGGCAGCAGUGGGGAAUAUUGCACAAUGGGCGCAAGCCUGAUGCAGCGACGCCGCGUGAGGGAUGACGGCCUUCGGGUUGUAAACCUCUUUCAGCAGGGACGAAGCGCAAGUGACGGUACCUGUAGAAGAAGGACCGGCCAACUACGUGCCAGCAGCCGCGGUAAUACGUAGGGUCCGAGCGUUGUCCGGAAUUACUGGGCGUAAAGAGCUCGUAGGUGGUUUGUCGCGUUGUUCGUGAAAACUCACAGCUCAACUGUGGGCGUGCGGGCGAUACGGGCAGACUUGAGUACUGCAGGGGAGACUGGAAUUCCUGGUGUAGCGGUGGAAUGCGCAGAUAUCAGGAGGAACACCGGUGGCGAAGGCGGGUCUCUGGGCAGUAACUGACGCUGAGGAGCGAAAGCGUGGGGAGCGAACAGGAUUAGAUACCCUGGUAGUCC
rnacentral:rRNA from 1 species